AUGGAGAGCCGGUGCCCCGCCUGCUUCCACCCCCGCUCCGGCACCGCGGCCACCUGUCCGGUCUGCGACGCCGCGCGCACCACCACGUUCGGCGUCUCGCCCGCGGCCCGAACGGUGCAUGGGUCCUUCUCGCCCGCGCAGCCGGAGCAUCGUCCCACGGCCAACCGCUUCUCCUUCGGCGGCUCGCCCGCGCAGCCGGAGCAUCUGUCCACGGCCAACCCCUUCUCCUUCGGUGGCUCGCCCGCGCAGCCGGUGCACCGGUCCACGGCCAACCCCUUCUCUUCCCCGUCAGCGACGGGCUAUUUUUGGAUCUGGACUGCCCCCGGCCACGGAGAACCCCCUCUCCAAACCUGCGUGUACGACGACGACGAGACCGUCGUGGAGCCGCUACUCGAUCGCCAGAGCGUAGUCCAAGAAGCGCUCGUCCUCAAGACACACUGCGAGAUUCCGGCCGUGGCGAGGGGCACGGCCCACGACGGCUUCGCCGUGCUGGUGCACGCCAAAGCUCCCGGCGUGGCGUCCACCGCCGAAAAAACGCCGGUCGACCUCGUGACGGUGCUCGACGUCAGCGGGAGCAUGACCGGCCAGAAGCUCGAGCUACUGAAGGACGCGAUGGGGUUCGUCGUGGACAACCUUGGCCCCGCCGACCGGCUCAGCGUCGUGUCCUUCUCGGACCACGCUCGCCGGGUCACCCCGCUGGCGCGCAUGUCGGUAGCCGGGAAGGCCUCUGCGAAGCUCGCCGUGCAGUCGCUCUACGCCGAUGGCUUCACAAAUAUCCUCAAGGGCCUUAAGAUGGCCGCCAAGGUACUCGACGGCCGCCAGCACAAGAACACCGUCGCCAGCAUCAUCCUGCUCUCGGACGGCAAGGACAGUUACCAGCAGCAAAGAAGCUACCAAUAUCUGGUGCCACGCUCCCUGGCGAGAAGAGGUGGCCGCCCGAUGGCGCCGAUACACACGUUCGGCUUCGGUACCGACCAUGAUCCGGCGGCCAUGCACGCCAUCGCUGAGCUGACCGGCGGCACGUACUCCUUCAUCGAGAACCAGGCGGUGGUGCAGGACGCGUUCGCGCAGUGCAUUGGCGGCCUCCUUUCCGUCACCGCACAGGAGGCAUGGAUCGCCAUCACGUGCCCACACCCUGACGUGCGCGUCCGGGACGUCAAGUCCGGUCGCCAUGAGAGCCGCGUCCUUGCGUACGGACGUGCCGCCUCGGUGGAUAUUGGCGAACUCUACGCCGACGAGGAGAGGCGCUUCCUGCUGUUGGUGGACGUGCCAAGAGUCGCCGGUGUCACAGACGAUGACGCCAUGGCCACACCUCUUAUCAAGGCGAGCUGCACCUACAAAGACACGGCGACGGGGAAGUCGAUGGAGGUGGCCGGCGAGGACGCCAUUGUGCAGAGGCCGGCGGAGGUGACGACGGACCAAGAGCCAUCCAUAGAGGUCGAGGUGGAGCCGGCCGCCGAGCGCGGCGACUACGCCGAGGCCGCAAGGAUACUGGACAGACGGCAGAAGGCGGCGGCAGGCAAUCUGGCCGGCGACGCCCGGUGCAUGGCGCUGGUGUACGAGCUAGGAGAGCUCAGCGCCCGCGUGGCGACCAGGCGUGAGUACGAGCAGACGGGCCGCUCAACCCUGCUGUCCGGCAUGAGCUCCCAUGAGCAGCAGCGUGCCUCGUCUGCGAGCCUGUUUGGUAGCAUGGCGCCCGCCAUGACAGCAGGAUCGGCGGCACGUGGGCAUUUUUAUUCAGAAUCGUCGGCGAUUGCGUUUGGGGCGGCGGCAGGAGCGUUCGCUACGCCGGCAAUGAAGAACAUGGUGGAUUCAUCCCGGAAGAUACGUGAAAUGCGGCAGCAGUCGCCGGCGACGAUCAACUUUGCUCCGAACAAUGGCGGCAGCUAA
rnacentral:rRNA from 1 species